rnacentral:rRNA from 1 species
AUUGAACGCUGGCGGCAGGCCUAACACAUGCCAGUCGAACGGUAACAGGAAGAAGCUUGCUUCUUUGCUGACGAGUGGCGGACGGGUGAGUAAUGUCUGGGAAACUGCCUGAUGGAGGGGGAUAACUACUGGAAACGGUAGCUAAUACCGCAUAACGUCGCAAGACCAAAGAGGGGGACCUUCGGGCCUCUUGCCAUCGGAUGUGCCCAGAUGGGAUUAGCUAGUAGGUGGGGUAACGGCUCACCUAGGCGACGAUCCCUAGCUGGUCUGAGAGGAUGACCAGCCACACUGGAACUGAGACACGGUCCAGACUCCUACGGGAGGCAGCAGUGGGGAAUAUUGCACAAUGGGCGCAAGCCUGAUGCAGCCAUGCCGCGUGUAUGAAGAAGGCCUUCGGGUUGUAAAGUACUUUCAGCGGGGAGGAAGGGAGUAAAGUUAAUACCUUUGCUCAUUGACGUUACCCGCAGAAGAAGCGCCGGCUAACUCCGU